AACUCAGUCAGGCUGUGUGAUUUUAGAUGCCAAAAUUGGGCAUCUGUCAUACGAGAAAUGCUUAGCAAAAGUUAUACUGUCUAUUGUAAGUUCUAUGCUGCUCAUUUCAUCUAAUUUGUGCCCUGGGUAGGUCUCGGGAAGUUAGAAGAGAAACAGAUUCCUUUUCGGUCAGUGUAGUUUAGAAUCAAAUGACAGUUUGAUUGAUGGAAGAAUAAUGCAUUCAGUUUCCUCCAAUUUGCAUAUUGCGGUAACUGUUAAUAGGGUAUUGAUGAAUCUCAGUUUUGUAAGCCUGGAUUUAGGCUUUGCAGCAUCAGCUGAGAACAUCACAGCAUGGCUUCUGUGUUGAUCGUUAUAGGGACAACAGAAGCCAUUACCUGCAAUUUGAGAACCCAUGCAUAGCAUUAGCAAGAUAAUGAGCUAAUGACCUAAAGCAAUUUGAGGGUUAUGACAUAUACUCAUAUAUCUAACUUAAGCCAGUAUAAGUUAACCUGUGCCCGGGCUCGAGAACUGGGCUGAGCCCACUCUUGCUUGGUUUAUCUUGUAUUGAUUAGCGAGCAUUUUCUAGUCUUGGGGUCUGCUUACAAAAUUAUGAUCUUAUUAUAAGAUGUUUCAGUUAUUUGCUUUUCUUUUCUAAAACUUCUAGAGAAUCUGGACCAUAUCUUUGUAUCAGAUA
rnacentral:lncRNA from 1 species